CAUGCAAUGUGGGAUCUGCCGAUGGUGAUGCUGCCUACGUUUACUCCUCUCCUCCUCCGCCGUAUGAGUACAAAUCGCCGCCACCUCCUUCCCCUUCCCCACCUCCUCCUUAUCUUUACAAGUCGCCGCCACCUCCUUCACCGUCUCCUCCUCCUCCUCCUUAUGUGUACAAGUCACCGCCACCUCCUUCACCGUCCCCACCACCACCAUACGUGUACAAGUCGCCACCACCACCUUCCCCGUCUCCGCCACCACCAUAUGAGUACAAGUCGCCGCCACCACCUUCCCCGUCUCCACCACCACCAUAUGAGUACAAAUCUCCUCCUCCACCAUCACCGUCACCUCCCCCCCCUUACCACCACUCCUCUCCACCACCACCUUCGCCAUCUCCUCCUCCACCUUACCACGACUCCUCUCCACCACCACCUUCGCCAUCUCCUCCUCCACCUUACCACGACUCCUCUCCACCACCACCUUCGCCAUCUCCUCCUCCACCUUACCACGACUCCUCUCCACCACCACCUUCGCCAUCUCCUCCUCCACCUUACCACGACUCCUCUCCACCACCACCUUCGCCAUCUCCUCCUCCACCUUACCACGACUCCUCUCCACCACCACCAUAUGAGUACAAAUCUCCUCCUCCACCAUCACCGUCACCUCCCCCACCUUACGAGUACAAGUCUCCUCCUCCUCCUUCACCGUCACCACCGCCACCAUACUACUACAAGUCACCGCCGCCACCAUCACCCUCUCCUCCUCCACCAUACUACUAUAAAUCUCCACCACCACCUUCUCCAUCUCCGCCGCCACCUUACCACUACUCUUCUCCACCACCACCUAAGAAAUCACCUCCACCACCAUACUACUACAAAUCUCCACCACCACCUUCGCCAUCUCCUCCUCCACCUUACCACUACUCCUCUCCACCACCACCUAAAAAAUCACCUCCACCACCAUACUACUAUAAGUCUCCACCACCACCUUCACCAUCUCCUCCACCACCGUACUACUAUAAGUCUCCGCCGCCACCAUCACCCUCUCCUCCACCACCAUACUAUUAUAAAUCCCCACCACCACCUUCACCAUCUCCUCCACCGCCGUACUACUACAAGUCCCCACCACCACCUUCUCCGUCUCCUCCACCACCAUAUUACUACAAAUCUCCACCACCGCCAUCACCAUCACCUCCACCACCAUACUACUACAAAUCUCCACCACCGCCAUCACCAUCACCUCCACCACCAUACUACUACACAUCCCCAAAUCUCCACCACCGCCAUCACCAUCACCUCCACCACCAUACUACUACAAAUCCCCUCCACCUCCGGCGAAAUCUCCCCCACCACCUCCGUACUAUUACAAGUCUCCGCCGCCAC
rnacentral:lncRNA from 1 species